GAAUCUAACGGAGUUGCGGA
rnacentral:siRNA from 1 species